rnacentral:rRNA from 1 species
AACGAACGCUGGCGGCAGGCGUAACACAUGCAAGUCGAACGCCCCGCAAGGGGAGUGGCAGACGGGUGAGUAACGCGAGGGAAUCUACCUAGUUCUACGGAACAACAGAGGGCAACUUCUGCUAAUACCGUAUACGCCCUAAGGGGGAAAGAUUUAUCGGAAUUAGAUGAGCCCGCGUAAGAUUAGCUGGUUGGUGGGGUAAUGGCUUACAAAGGCGACGAUCUUGAGAUGGUCUGAGAGGAUGAACAGCCACACUGGGACUGAGACACGCCCCAGACUCCUAAGGGAGGAAGCAGUGGGGAAUAUUGGACAAUGGGCGCAAGCCUGAUCCAGCCAUGCCGCGUGAGUGAUGAAGGCCUUAGGGUUGUAAAGCUCUUUCAGUGGGGACGAUAAUGACGGUACCCACAGAAGAAGCCCCGGCUAACUUCGUGCCAGCCGCCGCAGUAAGAC